UUAAUAUAUGUGUUUGUCUAUGCAAUGGGCUGAGCUGAAUAAUAUUUCUAUUUGUUUAUUUUAAAAUUAAAUAUUUUUUCUAGUCAUCAAAUUUGGCAAGUGUAAUCCUAGUCACAUAUGACUGGAUAUCCUAAGUAAAUUUUGGUGAGCCACAAUAGCACGUUAAUUAACCAAUAAAAUUAUAACAUUUUCAUUUAAGUGUGUUCUCAAUUAAUAGUAUGAUAGUGUCUACAAUAUACUAUAACUAAUUACAUAUCAGUUACUUUUGAAGAGAAAAAAGGGAAGAUGAAGCGGAGAAAAAAAAAUAGGAGUAAGAGGAAGAGAAAGAAGGAAGAGAGAUGAACGGGGAAAGAGAACAAAUGAAAAAAAGGAAAAGAGGGAAGAUAAAUGAGGAAAAAAAAAAGAGGAGGAGUGAAGAAUGAGAAAGAAAAAAAUGUGGAGGAGAAGAGGGGAGAAGGAUGAAGAAGACGAGUUGAAGAAAAAUAUAUUCUACUGUAUUAUACUAUGCCAUUAAAAUAAAAUAGUAAAUAAUAUUUAUAAUAUACUAUAACCUAUUACAUAUUGGUUGUUUAAUGAAAAUAUAAAAACAAAUAUGAAAGAAAAUCUAUAGCUUUGUCCAUAGAAUUCUAAACAAAUCAGCUUUGACUUACAAUUAUUUAUACUACAAGAAGUGUUAUUUCUAUUUUUUUGUACAAGUCGAGAAAAUAUAGAAUAGACUCACAACAUAUAUAUAACUUUUCAUCUUCU
rnacentral:lncRNA from 1 species